AAUCAGUGCCCUGCCAGGCAGAAGACCCUUUUGUGUUUUCCCGACACUUACUUCGGAGACCGCCCCUCUAAGCAGAGGGCCAUGUCGCCUGCUGCGUGUUGCUGAAUGGAGGCCCUAAUGUGAAUGGAGACUAGCCUGCUGGUAGAGACCUUGGCAGUGACCGCUGUGGGCAAUGAGCCAUGGGCCAACAAUAUUCAAUGCUGUGUACCUGAUGGAUGGUUACUGUCUGAGACUGAGGCUUUUUGGGCCAGGAGUAAAAGGACUUGGUUUGUACUUGAUUGCGUCCUGUGGAUGC
ensembl:processed_transcript Rian RNA imprinted and accumulated in nucleus